rnacentral:rRNA from 1 species
AUAUGUCAGCGGCAGACGGGUGAGUAACGCGUGGGAACGUACCUUUUGGUUCGGAACAACACAGGGAAACUUGUGCUAAUACCGGAUAAGCCCUUACGGGGAAAGAUUUAUCGCCGAAAGAUCGGCCCGCGUCUGAUUAGCUAGUUGGUGAGGUAAUGGCUCACCAAGGCGACGAUCAGUAGCUGGUCUGAGAGGAUGAUCAGCCACAUUGGGACUGAGACACGGCCCAAACUCCUACGGGAGGCAGCAGUGGGGAAUAUUGGACAAUGGGCGCAAGCCUGAUCCAGCCAUGCCGCGUGAGUGAUGAAGGCCCUAGGGUUGUAAAGCUCUUUUGUGCGGGAAGAUAAUGACGGUACCGCAAGAAUAAGCCCCGGCUAACUUCGUGCCA